CGCCCCCGCCACGGGCACAAGCGGUCCCUGUGUUUGCAGCUGAGGCCACAGGCCCCGAAGCCAGGCUACUUGGGUGCCUCCCAGCUCUGCCCUUCGCUAGCUUGUGGAACUUCGAGAAUAACCGACAAAGACUCCGGAUGUGCUGCUGAAGUGGGCACCUGUCUGUCAGCCUCAGAGGGGAUGUCAGGAAGGGCAGCAAGAGCAUCCUGGCGCUGCGGAAAAGAUGAAGUUACUGGAGGCUCCAGACUAGACCUCCUCCCUCCUGAUCAUUUGCCUGUGGGAUGUUCUCAUCUUGGUGAGAGUCCCAGGAACUGCUUUCCUCUCCUUUCCAACCACCAGCAUCCCAUCUGCCCAGCUCACCAAAUCCCUGGAAGCUACCUACACAAGUAGCCUGUACUUCCUAAAAUUCGUGGGCUGUAAGCAAAAGAUGCUUACGUAAGUGGCUCAAUAUAAAAAGGACAAGGGG